GCCAGUAUGUCUGUGUGUGUGUGUGUAUGUAGGUAUGUCUCUGUGUGUGUGUGUGUGUACGUGUGGGUCAGUAUGUCUGCCAGGAUAUAUUUGUGUGUCAGUGUAUGUGUGUGUCAGUAUGUAUCUGUGAAUGUUUUAAUGUCUGUCUGUGUGUAUGUGCCAGUACAUCUGUCUGUGUGUAUGUCAGCAUGUCUGUGUGUGUGUGUCAG